rnacentral:tRNA from 1 species
GCGACUGUAACUCAGUUGGUUAGAGUGUCGGAUUGUGGAUCCGGAAGUCGCGGGUUCGAGUCCCGUCUGUCGCCCA